GACGAACGCUGACGGCGUGCUUAACACAUGCAAGUCGAAGGGAGUGGCGAACGGGUGAGUAACACGUGAGUAACCUGCCCUUUUCUUUGGGAUAAGCCUGGGAAACUGGGUCUAAUACUGGAUGGAUUGGGAUGGGCUCGCGGCUUAUCAGCUUGUUGGGGGGGUGCUGGGUUACCAAGGCUUUGACGGGUAGCCGGCCUGAGAGGGUGGUCGGGCACAGUGAGACUGAGAUACGUCCUAGGCUAGGACGCGGGGCGGCAGUGGGGGCUAUUGCACAAUGGAUGAAGGUGUGAUGCCGCGUCGUCGUGUGGGGGAUGAAGGCCUUCGGGUUGUGAACUCCUUUCGCCCGCGGAAUGGUAGUGGGUAAAGAAGCGCCGGCUAACUACGUGCCAGCAGCCGCGGUAAUAC
rnacentral:rRNA from 1 species